AGCGAACGCUGGCGGCAGGCUUAACACAUGCAAGUCGAGCGGACCUUUCGGGGUCAGCGGCGGACGGGUGAGUAACGCGUGGGAACGUGCCUUCCGGUUCGGAAUAGCCCUGGGAAACUAGGGCUAAUACCGGAUACGCCCUUAUGGGGAAAGGUUUACUGCCGGAAGAUCGGCCCGCGUCUGAUUAGCUAGUUGGUGGGGUAACGGCCUACCAAGGCGACGAUCAGUAGCUGGUCUGAGAGGAUGAUCAGCCACACUGGGACUGAGACACGGCCCAGACUCCUACGGGAGGCAGCAGUGGGGAAUAUUGGACAAUGGGCGCAAGCCUGAUCCAGCCAUGCCGCGUGAGUGAUGAAGGCCUUAGGGUUGUAAAGCUCUUUUAUCCGGGACGAUAAUGACGGUACCGGAGGAAUAAGCCCCGGCUAACUUCGUG
rnacentral:rRNA from 1 species